GGGGUUAUAGCUCAGUUGGUUAGAGCGCUUCGUUGACAUCGAAGAGGUCUGCGGUUCGAGUCCGCCUAACCCCACCA
rnacentral:tRNA from 12 species